CCGUUGCGAGAGCUACUAGAAGCACCCAUCAAUUUUGCGAAUAGAGUUCUGGAAUCAAAGUUCAUCUAAAUUCACAAAUUUGAGGUAUGUGGGGUUUGAAUAAGAACACCCUUUCGUUCUUGUGCCCAAAACUUAUUUUGGAUUAUAAAUUACUGAAUUUUUAAUUAUUUUCCAUGAAAUUCUAGUUGGGGUUUAUACCCAUGGUUGUUAAUUAUAAGCUUAUAA
rnacentral:lncRNA from 1 species